rnacentral:rRNA from 1 species
AUUGAACGCUGGCGGCAGGCCUAACACAUGCAAGUCGAGCGGAGCGGCGGACGGGUGAGUGAUGCCUAGGAAUCUGCCUGGUAGUGGGGGAUAACGACCGGAAAUGGGAGCUAAUUCCACAUACUAUUACAUGAGCAUAGGUCGGAUUAGCUAGUUGGUGGGGGAAAGGCCUACCAAGGCGACGAUCCGUAACUGGUCUGAGUGGAUGAUCAGUCACACUGGAACUGAGACACGGUCCAGACUCCUACGGGAGGCAGCAGUGGGGAAUAGUGGACAAUGGGCGAAAGCCUGAUCCAGCCAUGCCGCGUGUGUGAAGAAGGUCUUCGGAUUGUAAAGCACUUUAAGUUGGGAGGCGUUACCAGCAGAAUAAGCACCGGCUAACUUCGUGCCAGCAGCCGCGGUAAUUC